UACGGGGGGGGCAAGCGUUGUUCGGAAUUACUGGGCGUAAAGGGCUCGUAGGUGGUCAACUAAGUCGGACGUGAAAUCCCCGGGCUCAACCCGGGAACUGCGUCCGAUACUGGCAGGCUUGAAUUCGGGAGAGGGAUGCGGAAUUCCAGGUGUAGCGGUGAAAUGCGUAGAUAUCUGGAGGAACACCGGUGGCGAAGGCGGCAUCCUGGACCGAAAUUGACGCUGAGGCGCGAAAGCCAGGGGAGCAAACGGG
rnacentral:rRNA from 1 species